rnacentral:rRNA from 1 species
AUUUGGGCAAUGGACGCAAGUCUGACCCAGCCAUGCCGCGUGCAGGAUGAAGGCGUUAUGCGUCGUAAACUGCUUUUAUACAGGAAGAAACGACUCUUGCGAGAGGCAUUGACGGUACUGUAUGAAUAAGCACCGGCUAACUCCGUGCCAGCAGCCGCGGUAAUACGGAGGGUGCAAGCGUUGUCCGGAUUUAUUGGGUUUAAAGGGUGCGCAGGUGGUUUAUUAAGUCAGUGGUGAAAGACGGUCGCUCAACGAUUGCAGUGCCAUUGAAACUAGUAGACUUGAGUAAAGUAGAGGUGGGCGGAAUUGAUAGUGUAGCGGUGAAAUGCAUAGAUAUUAUCAAGAACUCCAAUUGCGUAGGCAGCUCACUUGGCUUUUACUGACACUCAUGCACGAAAGUGUGGGUAUCAAACAGAGAUUANAUACCC